rnacentral:lncRNA from 1 species
AUGGCUAGCGAACGAAUUGGGCCGGCCCAUUUCCUAUUCUAUGCGAAGGGCCUCCAAACAAAAAAUAUGUAGUUUAUUGAAUGCCUAGCUAAACGACGUGCUGUUUCACGGCCAAAAAGCUAAACGACGUCGUGAGUGAGUUCUUAAAUACCGAAAAAGCUGAAACGGUAGAGCGUUUAAGAGAUGGGUGUGGCUAUAAAUAAGGCUGAGCACGACAAGUCAGAAUCUCAAAACCCUAGCAAUGGUUUCGCCUCUCAGAGAUGAAGCGGUAGAGAGCGAUUUGUACGUAUUUUUUAUCUCUUCGUUUCCGAUUAUAAACCUAAUUAUUUUUGCGUUUUGUAUGUUUAAUUGAAACUGUGAGGGGAGAAGGUGCUAUGAUGAUGAGAUCGAUAAUCUCGUUAAUCUGAUGAAUAGAUCAUUCAUGAGGAUAACUUUUCUCAUCCAUUCAAUAUUUCUUCUGAGCACACUCUCCUCUCGUUUUGUUAUAUGAACUAUGCAUUCCUCUUUAGUCUUGUUUUCAUAAUAAAUCUUUUGUUUUGAAAAUGACGGUAUGUUUUAAAAUCUGCUAUGAGACACUUUGGAGAAAAAUCAUGAAUCUCAUUUAUAUAUUUUUCUAUGAACUCCUUUAUUCUUUUUGUUUGAAUGUUGUGUAAUUAAUUUGAUAAAGAAAAAACUUGCACAUAUUACCUUUUCAAACUCCUUUUCAGUCUCUAAUAAAAAAUUAUUAUUUUUAAUUAAUUUAUUAUAAUUUUUUCAUAUUUUAAAAUAAAAGUGAUAAGUGUUAAAAUGAGAUUGAGUGAAAAAUUGGAUAUUCAUACCUCAUCAUUGUUACGAAGUAUAAUUUAUUAUCACUUUAGACAAAAUCGAUUGUAAUGUUUCUUUAAUAUAUUAUCCCCAAAUUCACGUUCCUUAAUUUUUAUUUAUUGUUUAAUUUAAGAUUUAUUCUUUAUUAAGAAAACUAAAACUAAACUAAGCUAUUCAAUUAGUGAUUAAAUAGAUAGUAUGUAUGAAAAUCAUAUAAAAACAAUAGUUUGUCAUCUAAUGAGUAUAAAACUUUAUCAAUUCAAUGACAACCCCAAUUGAAAUAUUAGAGCUUAAUAUAUGUAUAGCAAAGAUAUUGAGAAUAAUUGUUUAAUGAACAGUUUGUGUUGAAAAUGAAUAACCAAGAAUAAGAGGUAAUAUAUGUCAUUUUUAAUCAUCUUAAAGAUAUACCUAGCGGAAUGGCAUCCUAACGGAAAUAUAACACUAAUGCAAAACAGAAUGAAGAGAGAAAAACAAGAAAAAACAUAACAGAGAUAUUCUCUUAUAUUCUCCAAUAGUGCUUUCAAGCUCAAGGUUAACAAUUUGAUCGACAGCAGGAUGUGAGUAACACACAAGGACUGGUUGAGAACCUUUGAUUAUCAUAAUGAAUCAGAGGGGUGUUACAACGGAUGUAGAGUUCUUUGAGAGAGACUGCAAUGUCUCAACACUUGAACCAGCAACCGAAGUCUGCUUUUUACAACUGGAGAAAAUACAUCCGAACUUUUUUAAUGACAUCCCUUUCCUACAAGCCGUGCUUUAUAAUUAUUGAUAGUAACAUCAACGUUUUCUUUAACAUGAAAAAUCCAUUUGCACCCAAUAGAUGUGAGACUAGGAGGAACAAGGGUGGGAGUCCAAGUGUUAUUAGCCAUGAAUGCAUCAUAGCUUGCCGCCAAAUAGGAGAGGACAAGUAUAAGGAAAAAAGUAAAAUAAAAUAAUGAAAUAAUAUGGAAAGAAAAUAGAAGAAGAAUAUCACGAAAGAACACGAAAUAAUUUUUUUUUUUUAUUCCAUCGCUUAAGAGAAGGUGUUUUAUAUAAGUAGUACUCCUUACAAUUAAUAUUUAUUCAUAUGGAUAUAACGAUGUUCUCCUUUUUUAGGUAAGGGUGAUAUGUUAUUUACUAACAAAAUCUCUAAGAUAAAUUGGCUAACGAAUAAUCCUCUUAGGACGAUCAAUAAAAGCAUCUGGAGCAUUACUUGGGCUAUGUAACAUCUGGGCUAGUACUUGUGUUGUACUCACCUUGUGCAUAGUUAAUAAGAUUAGAGUAUUGUAAGGGCCCAAUGAUUCUUUCGUCUCCCUCCGGAUGGAGAAGCUCUUUCAUAACUCCCUAUGGUUCCCACGUAACAUCUUGUGGUGGAAGACCCCUCCAUUGCACCAAGUCUAAAUCAGAAUCUGGCUUAGUGUUCAGAAUAGCUAUGGGUUCCAAUAUGGGUUGAUUAUCAUUGAAUUUCAAGGGAAGUUUUCAAGUUGUUGUCAGGGGAUUUCCCUUGUGUGGUUUGAGACCCCUCCAUUGAACCAAAACCGUUUUUGUAACUUUUCCUGGUAAUGACCAGCAACUGAAACCUGACAGCGAAGACGAACAUAAACCCAGUCUCCAGGUUAGAAUUGGAGACUGCAAUGAUUGGUGUCUACCCAUCGCUUAAUAUCUGCUUGUGCCUUUUGGAGGUUGUAGUUGAGUUUACGGAUGAUGUCAGCUCUAGGUGCAAUUCAAACUGAACAACAACAUUUGAAGUGUCAGAAGAAAGACCUUGGGGAAUAGAUGAUGGGUACCAUACACGACUUCAAAUGGGGUCAUCUUGAUAGAAGCGUUAAUAGUGGUGUUGAAGCACCAUUUGGCCCAAGGAAGAAAUUUGCCCCAUAAUGAUGGCUUGUGAUGGAUGAAGCAACGAAGACAUUGUUGCAAGACCUUGUUAACCACCUACAUUUGGCCAUCGGACUAAGGAUGGUAAGUUGUGGACAUCCAUAAUUUGGUACAACUUAAGCGGAAGAAACAUAAGGUCCCGAUCAGAAAUUAAGCUCUUGGGAAGGCCGUCCAAUUUGCAGAUCAUGUGCAUGAAUAAGUCUGUCACUUUGGAGGCUAAGAAAGACCUGGUUAACAUGCCAAAGUGUGCAACCUUUGAGAACCUGCCUAUAACAACCAAUAUUGUAGAAUUGCCCUGGUAUGGAGGAAGGCCCACAAUGAAAUCUAGGUAUAAAUCCUCCCAACAUUUGGUAUGUGGAGGAAUUGGUUGAAGUAGCCCUGUAGGUUUUUGAACUGGGAUCUUAGUUUGUUGACAAAUUUCACAUUGGGUGACAAAUGUGUGGACAUUAUGACGCAUUUUGUCCCAAAAGAAGUUAGUUGCUAACUUCCCAAAAGUGCGUGCUACGCUAGGGUGUCCUGCCAAAGGUGUAGAAUGGUACUCAUGUAAGAAAGUGAGGAUGAAAGGGCAUGAUGGAGGAAUCCAGAUGCGUUAUUUGAAUACGAUCAACCCAUUUGUCAAAGAAUAUAGAGGAAAGUUAACAGGAUUUGUUGUGAUUCGUUGCUUCAGUGAAAGGAACUCGGUAUUGGUGGACACAUAGUACUGUAGAUCAGAUAUAAAAUCCAAUUGAGGAAUGGAUAAAAUGAGAAGGUAGUGCUCCUGUCAUGACUGUAAGAGCCUGGAUAAAGCAUUUGCUGCUGAAUUAGACUUCCCUGAGUGAUUUUGUUGAUAUGGAGUAAGAACGGUUUGGGAGAGUAACUCUUUGAUUGAUUUCUAGUUUGUUUGGAUAAUGAAUCUUCGGCCAAGUAAGUAUUGCCGCCACUUUUGUACAACUGAGGUAAUUUCGCAGAGUUCCCUAAUAUAAGUGGAUGAGUCUUGCAGCUUCGAGCAAAAUUAUUUAUUGAAAAUGUGAUGGGAUGUCCGUUUUGAGAGAGAACAACCCUCAUGCCUGAACCUGAUGCAUCAGCUUGAACUAUGAAAGUGUGAUAAAAAAGGGGCAGCGACAAAACAAAAGCAUUCGUUAGUGCCUCUUUCACAUGUUGGAAGGCCUAUGAGACACUAUAUUGCCAAAAGACAUUGUCACGUUUGAGGAAGUCAAUGAGAGCACUAGUGAUGGAGGCAUAACCUUUCACGAAGCGACGGUAGAAUCCAGUUAAACCCAAGAAGCCACAAAGAGACUUGACUGACGUGGGUGUUGGCAAAUCAAGAACAACUUGGAUCUUACUAGGGUCUAGCUGCACACCCUUAUUAGAGGCUAUGUGACCCAGGUAAUGUAUGGACUCCUUCCCAAUUGAACAUUUCUCCCCUUUAAGGUGAAAGCUAUUCUGGACUAGCAAUUGAAAAAUUCACUCCAAAUGGGAAAUGUGUAAAUCCAAUGCUGGACUAUAGACGAGGAUGUCGUCAAAAAAUAAAAUGAUGAAUUGACGAAGAUGUGGGCGAAAGAGGUCAUUCAUGGUGGCCUAAAAUGUAGAAGGGGCCUUGCAUAACCCAAAUGGCAUGACUCUGAAUUCGAAAUGGCCGUAUGUGUGCGAAAGACAGUUUUGCCACAAUCACUAGGAAGCAUCAAGAUUUGGUGGAAACCCGAAAAUAGAUCCAACUUUGAAAACCAAGUGAUUGAAUUGUGUACCAAUGAUACAAAUCUGUGCUUAAACUGGUGAUUAACUUGUGAUAUUCUGCAUUGUGCACACAAACUAUUUUUGAAAUUCAUGCAUAAUGGUAGUGGGAGUAUCACUUCUUUGCAUAUUGCUUCAUCACACACCUAUUUUUCAGGGGGAGUUUAUAUUUGUAUUUGUGAUGAACUUGUGAUUUUGAGAGCAUCAUUGUCAUUUUGAAACUGCAUAUUUGUUUGAUGCUUCUCUGUUUUCAAAACUUCAUAAAUAUCAAAGCAUUCCUUUUUUGUUAUUUUUGCUGCUUAUGCAGAGUAACUGAACUGUCUUUAUUGAUUUUGCUAUUUGUUUUUACUCUGUCAUAUGUGGAACUGUACAAACAUGGUUGAGUUAUUAAUCAUGGUUGUGCGUCAUAAAAAAAGGGGGAGAUUGUUGAGAUUGUUGACAUCACGAACUCUAUAUCAAACUGGUUUUUUAUGAUGGCAACACACUGCUUAAUAACAGUACAUAAGUUCCAGGAUUACAUGUUCAACUGUAUAACAAACUAGAUUGAACAAAUGCUUUUGUUGAACAUGUUUUGUUGAUUUGCAAUGUGUGUUCCUAUGAUGGAUUAUGUGUUACAUGUAUGGAACAUGCUUGUAUUGAAAUGUGUGAUAAAAUAAUUUUGAUUACUUCUGCACAUUUCUGAAGAAAAGCUCACAAGCACUUUUAUGAACUUAUAUUUGUUGUGACAAAGGUCUAGUUCAGUCGAAUACACUGGUAAUGGAUUCGACUAAGCUAAAACCUUUGUACAGAUUUUGUGAACCUGUGCUUGGUGAGAUUUUGAGUUGAAAAGAAUUUCAAAGUGAUUUUUCAUGUGUAAGUCGACAGUGUGGAACACCUAUUCGACUAUGUUGCUGUUAUUUUUGGAAUUUUGUUAUGCCUACUUGCUCCAACAGCUAUAUUUUCAAAGGUUAGUUAAGAUUGACUGACUGGGUCGACUGUCUUAAAUGUGUAUUGAUUUGGUUGACUGAGGAGCCUUUGUGUUGACUGUCUGUUAUAACUAUUUUAAUACAGUCGACUGUAUUAGUAGACAAUUCGACUGAGAAUGACAGGAAAACUAUAAAUAGAACAAAACACGAAUUGUUCUGGGACUUUUGUGAUCUAACAUUUUCAUUGUCCUGUUUCAGAGAAAGUUCUUAGUUUAGGAAGCUCCAAGAAUUCUCCAAGAAGGCGGUGGUGAGCUUUCUUGAGAGAGAUUUAGAUUGAGGAGUCUUUUGCGCAUACUGUUUGAUCACAUCUGCACAAAGGAGGUGCUUCUGGUUUGAUCCUGAAGGCUUGACAUCCUGUAAGACUGUUGUAUUGACUAAAGGCUUGGCAACCUGUGAAGUCUGCUGUGAUAGGCUUGGCAACCUGUGAAGCGUGCUGUGAUAGGCUUGACAUCCUGUGAAUAAUGCUGGUUACACGUUGAGGAUUGGUCUACGUGGGUUCAGAUUGCAGAAGAGGGGAUUCUUGUUGCAAUUCUAGUUUUGUUUGUGCAGCUAUAUUUGGUUUUGGGUUAGAGAGGAGAUUUAUAUUUUUGCGUGGUGCUUCUAUAAAUUCCUUGCUGUAAAAACCGCAACCAUUAUAGUGCAUUUGCUUCCAAGAUUGGAAGGACACUAGAUGUAGACAUUGUUGGCCGAACCAGUAUAAAAACCAGUGUUUUAUUUUCUCUAUCUCUACA